rnacentral:rRNA from 2 species
AUCAAUAAGCGGAGGAAAAGAAACUAMCAAGGAUUCCCCUAGUAACUGCGAGUGAAGCGGGAAAAGCUCAAAUUUAAAAUCUGGCAGUCUUUGGCUGUCCGAGUUGUAAUCUAGAGAAGUGUUAUCCGCGCUGGACCGUGUACAAGUCUCCUGGAAUGGAGCGUCAUAGAGGGUGAGAAUCCCGUCUUUGACACGGACUGCCAGGGCUUUGUGAUGCGCUCUCAAAGAGUCGAGUUGUUUGGGAAUGCAGCUCAAAAUGGGUGGUAAAUUCCAUCUAAAGCUAAAUAUUGGCGAGAGACCGAUAGCGAACAAGUACCGUGAGGGAAAGAUGAAAAGAACUUUGGAAAGAGAGUUAAACAGUACGUGAAAUUGCUGAAAGGGAAACGCUUGAAGUCAGUCGCGUUGUCCAGGGAUCAACCUUGCUUUUGCUUGGUGUACUUUCUGGUUGACGGGUCAGCAUCAAUUUUGACUAUUGGAAAAUUUUCAAGGGAAUGUGGCAUCUUCGGGUGUGUUAUAGCCCUUUUUUGUAUACAAUGGUUAGGAUUGAGGAACUCAGCACGCCGCAAGGCCGGGUUUUUAACCACGUACGUGCUUAGGAUGCUGGCAUAAUGGCUUUAAUCGACCCGUCUUGAAACACGGACCAAGGAGUCUAACAUACCUGCGAGUGUUUGGGUGGAAAACCCGAGCGCGCAAUGAAAGUGAAAGUUGAGAUCCCUGUCAUGGGGAGCAUCGACGCCCGGACCAGACCUUUUGUGACGGCUCCGCGGUAGAGCAUGUAUGUUGGGACCCGAAAGAUGGUGAACUAUGCCUGAAUAGGGUGAAGCCAGAGGAAACUCUGGUGGAGGCUCGUAGCGAUUCUGACGUGCAAAUCGAUCGUCAAAUUUGGGUAUAGGGGCGAAAGACUAAUCGAACCAUCUAGUAGCUGGUUCCUGC